rnacentral:rRNA from 1 species
CCUAGGGGAGGCAGCAGUGGGGAAUUUUGCGCAAUGGGGGAAACCCUGACGCAGCACGCCGCGUGGAGGAUGAAGUCCCUUGGGACGUAAACUCCUUUCGACCGGGAAGAUACUGACGGUACCGGAAGAAGAAGCACCGGCUAACUCUGUGCCAGCAGCCGCGGUAAU